rnacentral:rRNA from 1 species
AACGAACGCUGGCGGCAUGCCUAACACAUGCAAGUCGAACGAGACCUUCGGGUCUAGUGGCGCACGGGUGCGUAACACGUGGGAAUCUGCCCUUCGGUUCGGAAUAACUCAGGGAAACUUGAGCUAAUACCGGAUGACGACGUAAGUCCAAAGAUUUAUCGCCGAAGGAUGAGCCCGCGUAGGAUUAGGUAGUUGGUGGGGUAAUGGCCUCACAAGCCGACGAUCCUUAGCUGGUCUGAGAGGUUGAUCAGCCACACUGGGACUGAGACACGGCCCAGACUCCUACGGGAGGAAGCAGGGGAGAAUAUUGGACAAUGGGCGAAAGCCUGAUCCAGCAAUGCCGCAGGAGUGAUGAAGGCCGUAGGGUUGUAAAGCUCUUUUACCAGGGAUGAUAAUGACAGUACCUGGAAAAUAAGCGCCGGCUAACUCCGUGCCAGCAGCCGCCGUAACAC